CACGUAGGGUGCGAGCGUUGUCCGGAAUUAUUGGGCGUAAAGAGCUCGUAGGCGGUGUGUCGCGUCGGCCGUGAAAACCUGCAGCUUAACUGUGGGCGUGCGGUCGAUACGGGCAUCACUGGAGUUCGGCAGGGGAGACUGGAAUUCCUGGUGUAGUGGUGAAAUGCGCAGAUAUCAGGAGGAACACCGGUGGCGAAGGCGGGUCUCUGGGCCGAUACUGACGCUGAGGAGCGAAAGCGUGGGGAGCGAACAGG
rnacentral:rRNA from 1 species